rnacentral:rRNA from 1 species
UACGAAGGGUGCAAGCGUUAGUCGGAAUUACUGGGCGUAAAGGGUGCGUAGGCGGUUGUUUAAGUCUGUCGUGAAAUCCCCGGGCUCAACCUGGGAAUGGCGAUGGAUACUGGGCAGCUAGAGUGUGUCAGAGGAUGGUGGAAUUCCCGGUGUAGCGGUGAAAUGCGUAGAGAUCGGGAGGAACAUCAGUGGCGAAGGCGGCCAUCUGGGACAACACUGACGCUGAAGCACGAAAGCGUGGGGAGCAAACAGG